rnacentral:rRNA from 1 species
CAGUCGCCGCGGGAAUACGAAGGGGGCUAGCGUUGUUCGGAUUUACUGGGCGUAAAGCGCACGUAGGCGGACUUUUAAGUCAGGGGUGAAAUCCCGGGGCUCAACCCCGGAACUGCCUUUGAUACUGGAGGUCUUGAGUAUGGUAGAGGUGAGUGGAAUUCCGAGUGUAGAGGUGAAAUUCGUAGAUAUUCGGAGGAACACCAGUGGCGAAGGCGGCUCACUGGACCAUUACUGACGCUGAGGUGCGAAAGCGUGGGGAGCAAACAGGAUUAGAUACCCCAGUAGUCCCUGUCUCUUAUAC